rnacentral:lncRNA from 1 species
AUAUGAUCCCCGGAUGAGGACGACAAUGGAAGGCAUCCGAUAAGAUAAGUCUUAUAAAAUAUAUACAUUUAUGAUAAUUAAGAUUGAGCUAACAGAUACUCGAGUGCUGAUGACAAAUGCCUGUCCCCAAAUUCUGACCAGAACUCAGAGGUGACAAGAAGCAGGAGCUGUGGCAGCUGUUUACAUGCUGAGAAGACAAGAGACAGGGGAUCCCCAGAGCAAGCUGGAUUGCCAGACUAUCUGUCUCGUGAUCUCUGGGUUCAACUGAGAGACUCCGUCUCAGUGAAGAAGGUGGAGAAUGAUUGAGAAAGACUCCUGCAGACAAUUUCAAGCUCAGACCUCCACAUGUACAAGUAUGCAAACAUGUACACAUGCACAUAGGCAUCUACUCACAUGGGUGUGCCCACAUACGAGUGAACAUGUAUAUAUUCAUGCAUAUCACACAAAUACAUAUAGCAAACAAACAAAACAAACUUCAUGUGUGCAGGGGGUGGGGGAGUAGCUUUUCAUUAGCAAAAUGGAUGGUAUUUCCAGCUGGGGCAAAAGGUCUAAAUUCUCUAGGCCAGAAAGCCCUCCAGCACUGAUGAGUCAUCUGUGGGUUCCAGGACAGCUUGGAUUAUGACACAGUACCUCUUACAUCUAUGGGAAGCUAUCACCUUGCAUAGCUCUGUGCUCUGG